GCCUUCGUGGUGUAGUGGUCAGCACGCUUGAAGUGUAAUUGAAAUGUCCGUAGUUCGAUUCCCAGCGAAGGCG
rnacentral:tRNA from 1 species